rnacentral:rRNA from 1 species
GACGAACGCUGGCGGCGUGCUUAACACAUGCAAGUCGAACGGAAAGGCCCUGCUUUUGUGGGGUGCUCGAGUGGCGAACGGGUGAGUAACACGUGAGUAACCUGCCCUUGACUGUGGGAUAACUUCAGGAAACUGGGGCUAAUACCGGCUAGGAGCUCCUGCUGCAUGGUGGGGGUUGGAAAGCUUCGGCGGAUGGGGAUGGACUCUCGGCUUAUCAGCUUGUUGGUGGGGUAGUGGCCUACCAAGGCUUUGGCGGGUAGCCGGCCUGAGAGGGUGACCGGCCACAUUGGGCCUGCGAUACGGCCCAGACUCCUACGGUAGGCAGCAGUGGGGAAUAUUGCACAAUGGGCGGAAGCCUGAUGCAGCAGCGCCGCGUGCGGGAUGACGGCCUUCGGGUUGUAAACCGCUUUCGCCUGUGACGAAGCGGGAGUGACGUUAAUGGGUAAAUAAGCACCGGCUAACUACGUG